rnacentral:rRNA from 2 species
ACGCUAGCUACAGGCUUAACACAUGCAAGUCGAGGGGAAACGACAUCGAAAGCUUGCUUUUGAUGGGCGUCGACCGGCGCACGGGUGAGUAACGCGUAUCCAACCUGCCCACCACUUGGGGAUAACCUUGCGAAAGUAAGACUAAUACCCAAUGAUAUCUCUAGAAGACAUCUGAAAGAGAUUAAAGAUUAUCGGUGAUGGAUGGGGAUGCGUCUGAUUAGCUUGUUGGCGGGGUAACGGCCCACCAAGGCAACGAUCAGUAGGGGUUCUGAGAGGAAGGUCCCCCACAUUGGAACUGAGACACGGUCCAAACUCCUACGGGAGGCAGCAGUGAGGAAUAUUGGUCAAUGGACGAGAGUCUGAACCAGCCAAGUAGCGUGCAGGAUGACGGCCCUAUGGGUUGUAAACUGCUUUUAUAAGGGAAUAAAGUGAGUCUCGUGAGACUUUUUGCAUGUACCUUAUGAAUAAGGACCGGCUAAUUCCGUGCCAGCAGCCGCGGUAAUACGGAAGGUCCGGGCGUUAUCCGGAUUUAUUGGGUUUAAAGGGAGCGUAGGCCGGAGAUUAAGCGUGUUGUGAAAUGUAGACGCUCAACGUCUGCACUGCAGCGCGAACUGGUUUCCUUGAGUACGCACAAAGUGGGCGGAAUUCGUGGUGUAGCGGUGAAAUGCUUAGAUAUCACGAAGAACUCCGAUUGCGAAGGCAGCUCACUGGAGCGCAACUGACGCUGAAGCUCGAAAGUGCGGGUAUCGAACAGGAAUAGAUACCCUGGUAGUCCG